rnacentral:lncRNA from 1 species
GAAAUAAUGAACUCCUCCAAGGCAAGAAAUCUGUUUUGAAGCUUCUCUGCGUUCACACACAGCAGCCUGGUUUCCUGGAAGGGCAUUUUCCACAUUGUGCGUUAUGGAUGAUCAUCCCAGGCAUCAGGUGUGAAGCCCUGCAUCCACAUCCAGGGGCUAUCAAAUCUCUCUGCAAAAGGAGAAGCUGGACUCAGGCACGUUUACAGUGAUGUGUAUGCAGAGAGAAGGACACAUUCUUGGAUUGAA